CGAUAUUUACCUUGCCAGAUGAUGUCGAUGAACAGCCAGGAACUUCUGGAACUAGCAGUGCUAGCUGCGCUAAACGCAUUUGCCUGGAGUCACCAUGCCCAAGUACACCUGGCCUUGAUACCAGUGCCAGCACCCUUGAAGUUGGUGAAAUGGAUGAAAGGCACUACAAAACAGGUGGAAGUGCAUUCCACACCAUGUGGUCAAUGAACAUCGAUGGACUGACAUGGAUGGAAAGCGGCAUCACUGUGACCAUGCUCCUCUAACAGCUGAGGAGCAGAAGAAGAGGAUGUAGCUGAAGAAGGACUCGGUGGCAUAUCAGGACCUGAUGUCACUCGUCUUUGAUAAAAGGCUUUUGAAAGAUCUUCAGAAGAUGGCCCUCUUCAAACAUACUGGGCCACUGGAGAUCUUUCACAGAGCUCUCCUGAAGUACCUCCCUAAAUGCCAGGCCUUCUCCUACGAGGGAGAAGGCCUACCUCGUCAUCAUGGAACAUAAUGAGAACAUUGUGGCACGAGAACAAGCCACCACGGCAACAGGAGAACCACGCGUCAAGCAGGUCUUCUGCAAAAAGUCAAAGCAAUGGAUAGUCAAGAAAAUCUAUAAGCCACACACCACCAAGUUCAUCUAGACACUAAUUGAGAAGGUCAUAGAAAACAGACGCAACCCAAACAUAACAUUCAAGGACUCAACCGCUUCACUCACCCAACCACAACCUCCUUUGCCACCUAACAUUGCCUCUGUCCCAAAGCCGUCAAAGAAAGCUGCAACAUCAUCAUUCAAGAGCCGCUUCUGAGACGUCAGCUCUACAUUAACCCAUUCCUCACAAAUAUUUUGUAAUAUUACCAUGUCUUAUGUCUGUCUUAUAUGGUCUUUUGACCUUAUCCUUGCACUACCUUACCUGUUUGCACUGCCAUUGAGCACCUUACUAUACAUACUCAAUCACAGGGUCAAUACCUCUUUUUUAUAGUGUGGAUAAUUUUAUUUGUAUGUUUUGAUGUUCAUGACACAAUUCUUUCUUUGUGAAUUAAAAACAAAAUGUCACUCGUGCUCUCCUGUCUGCCUUCAACAAAGUUUAGCAUCAUAAACUUGGAAGGAGGUAACUGAUAUGCAACAAGCUUAUAAUGCAAUGUAUACUUG